CGAGCUGGGCGCCCGCCGCGGCUCCGCCCACUUCUCCAGCCUCGAGUCCGAGGUAUGACGCGCCGGGACGCGCGCGGCCUUCGCGGGGGACGCCGCGGCGCCUCGUCUACGAGGGGGAAACCGAGGACGUGGCCGGGUGCCCUCAUGUUCGAGGGUGACGUUGUGGACGCCAAGGGCGCGGCCAGGUGCCCUCGUCUUCGCAGGUGACACCACGGACCCCGAGGACACAGCCAGGUGCCCUCGUCUUCACAGGUGACAACACGGACACCGAGGGCACAGUCAAGUGCCCUCAUCUUCACAGGUGACAACGUGGACACUGAGGGCACGGCCAGGUGCCCUCAUCCUCAUAGGUGACAACAUGGACACCGAGGGCACAGCCACGGCGCCUCGUCUUCGAGGGUGACACCGUGGGCACCGAGGACAUGGCUGGGGCCUCUCACCUUCCCGAGUGACACCAUGGACACCAAGGGCACAGCCAGGUGCCCUCAUCUUCGCAGGUGACAGCACGGACACCGAGGACAUGGCCACGGUGCCUCGUCUUCGAGGGUGACACCAUGGACAGCGAGGGCACGGAUGUGGACAUGGCAGCUUCGUGGGUGACACCACGGACAGUGAGGACAUGGACACAGUGUCUCGUCUGCGCGGGUGACAGCACAGACAGCGAGGACAUGGCCAUGGCGCCUCGUCUUCGAGGGUGACACCAUGGAGAGCAAGGACAUGGACACAGCGUCUCGUCUGCGCGGGUGACACCACGGACAUGAGCGAGGGCACGGAUGUGGACAUGGCAGCUUCGUGGGUGACACCACGGACAGUGAGGACAUGGACACAGUGUCUCGUCUGCGCGGGUGACACCACGGAGAGCGAGGACAUGGACAUGGCGCCUCGUGGUCACCGCCAUGGACGUCGAGGACACGGUUCAGUCCCUCGCUUUCAAGGGUGGCGUCGUGGACCCCGAGGACGUGGCCGCAGCCCCUCAUCUUCGCAGGUGACGCCGUAGCCACCGAGGACACGGCCAGGUCCCUUCGCCUUCGAGGGGGACGCGACGGACGUCAUCACGACAUGGCCAGCACCCCUCACCUUCAAGAGCGAGGCCACGGCCACCACCACGGCCACCGAGGACGUGGCCAGGUCCCCUCACUUCUGAGGGCGAUGCUGAUGCCACCACCGCGGCCGAGGACACAGCCGAGUCCCCUCAUCCC
rnacentral:lncRNA from 1 species